AAAAUGUGCUUCAGACGACACACUUCAGACGACAUAAGUUUUGUUUUAUGUCGUCUGAGUUUUUCAGACGACAUAAUUUUUUUUUGUGUUGUCUGAAUAUAGACUAAAACCAUACUCGUUCAAUUUGAAAAAAUGGUGAGCAUUCAGACAACACAUUUGUGUAGUUGUAAAAGAUGAUGAUUUCCUAUCUCAAAUGCGGAGGGAUAUCCAAAAUUUGAUCAAGUACUUUUCCCUCUCAAAUAGCCGAACUCUAGUUGACUAGAAAAUGUUGUGACAUUUAGACAACAUUUAAAUGUCGUCUGAGUGUGGAGCUUGUUUUAAAAUUUUUGAAGUUAUUUUGACUUGUGCUUUUUUACAUAGAUCCCUCGUAAUUAAAUCAUUUUCUGUCCUUCUCACUCCAACACCAGCCCGCGCGCUCUCUCUUUCUCACUCAGCUCGACCUAGAACCCGCGAAACUGGAAAACUCAAACACCAGCCUCUCUCCUUCUCACUCAGCUCUCUCAGAUCUCUCAGAUCUCGAUUCUCACUCUCUCCUCUCUCCUUCAUCUUCUCACUCUCUCGAUUCUUCUUGGUCUCUCCUUCUUCUUCUUAGCCUCUACUUCAUCUUUCGCGACCGGAUUAGUGGACCUCCCCAGCAACAACAGAGCUGUUUUUAAUUCGGAUAUUGGGAAACUUGGUGCUACAAAAGGAUUUGCUGGGAAGGAUGUAGUGAUUGUGGCGGCCUACCGAACUGCCAUUUACAAAGCAAAGCGAGGCGGUUUUAAGGAUACUUUAGCUGAUGAUUUACUGGCACCUGUUUUGAAGGUAGGAGGGUUUGUUGUUGUCGUGCUUUUCAGAUUUCACCGUUGGGUUUUGAUAGAUAUGGAGGAUGAAGUUAGAGAAUUGGGGGAAAGAAGAGGAACUUCAAGUUUGGAUGCCCAAGGCUGAGAAGGUUGUAGGGAUUCAAGGGGGAUGCUUGGCCUACAUUACCUGUUGAAGAUCUUGCUGACUUUUCCUUCCAGACAACGCCUAUGUAUAUAGAUGUGGAUGAUGGGAGAACUAAGGCCACGAAUAUAGGACUGCAACAGGACUAUUGUCUUGUGCCAAGUGCCAAGAGAUUUUAUUCUCCUAUAUUCUUUCCUGACGAGGAAUCUAUCAAAGAAAGUGAUGGUCUUCUUCUCUUCUUGCAACUCAGUUUCUUGGAAACAAUAAGUUGAAUGGCGCUCUCUCUGAAUCGAAAAGCUCAUCUCUUCUCAAUGUAUGAGUUAAAUGCCUCACUAAGCUGCACAUGAGUUAAAUGCAGACGAGUAGACCACCUACCAGAUUUGCAGCAAAGGUUUUUGUUCUUUUUUCUGCAAUAUCUUGUUCCUCAUUGAGAAUGAAGACUAGUUGCUCUUGUAAUAUGCAGCAUAAGUCUAUAUGGGGGUCAAGAAAGAUUUGUGUCUCUGCAAUGGGUCAGCAGGUUUGUGUCUCUGCAAGCUCACUGGCCAUUCCGUUUUCUAUGACCACUUCUAUGAUUUGGGUGAUUCCGUUCAUGAUCAGAUUGUGAAACUAGUACAGCAGUACAGCAGUAUAGCUAGCUAGUUCCUUUAUUAACUUGUGUCUAGUAGAAAUUUUUCAUUCAUUAAGCAUUUAGACUUGUCUUCAGAUCCAGAUUAGUAUAUAUGAGUUAUUUUGAACUGAAGUUCAUGAUUAAGUUUGUGUACAUGAGAUACUAGUGGAUUAAUGGAAAUUGCAAUGAAUGAUUUUGAAUGUGGAUUUUAUGGUUUCAUACUUUCA